rnacentral:rRNA from 1 species
GAUGAACGCUGGCGGCGUGCCUAAUACAUGCAAGUCGAGCGAACAGACGAGGAGCUUGCUCCUCUGACGUUAGCGGCGGACGGGUGAGUAAAACGUGGAGAACCUACCUAUAAGACUGGGAUAAGUUAGGGGAACCGGAGCUAGUACCGGAUUAUAUAUUGAACCGCAUGGUUCGAUAGUGAAAGACGGUUUUGCUGGCCCUUAUACAUGGAUCCGCGCCGGAUUAGCUAGUUGGUAAGGUAACGGCUUACCAAGGCGACGAUGCGUAGCCGACCUGAGAGGGUGAUCGGCCACACUGGAACUGAGACACGGUCCAGACUCCUACGGGAGGCAGCAGUAGGGAAGCUUCCGCAAUGGGCGAAAGCCUGACGGAGCAACGCCGCGUGAGUGAUGAAGGUCUUCGGAUCGUAUAACUCUGUUAUUAGUGAAGACCAAAUGUGUAAGUAACUAUGCACGUCUUGACGGUACCUAAACAGAAAGCCACGGCUAACUACGUG